GCGAUCAUGGCGGAACGGUAGACGCGCUAGACUUAGGAUCUAGUAUUAUUUAAAAAAUGUGCAGGUUCAAGUCCUGUUGAUCGUAUCA
rnacentral:tRNA from 1 species